rnacentral:rRNA from 1 species
AUUGAACGCUGGCGGAAUGCUUUACACAUGCAAGUCGAGCGGCAGCGCGGGGCAACCUGGCGGCGAGCGGCGAACGGGUGAGUAACAUAUCGGAACGUACCCAGUCGUGGGGGAUAACUAUCCGAAAGGAUAGCUAAUACCGCAUACGACCUGAGGGUGAAAGGGGGGGAUCGCAAGACCUCUCGCGAUUGGAGCGGCCGAUAUCGGAUUAGCUAGUUGGUGAGGUAAAGGCUCACCAAGGCGACGAUCCGUAGCUGGUCUGAGAGGACGACCAGCCACACUGGAACUGAGACACGGUCCAGACUCCUACGGGAGGCAGCAGUGGGGAAUUUUGGACAAUGGGGGCAACCCUGAUCCAGCCAUUCCGCGUGAGUGAAGAAGGCCUUCGGGUUGUAAAGCUCUUUCGGUCAGGAACGAAACGGUGAGCGUCUAACAUAGCUUGCUAAUGACGGUACCUGAAGAAGAAGCACCGGCUAACUACGUGCCAGCAGCCGCGGUAA